UUCGGCACGACUUAGGACGUAAUUGGUCUUUUCUUUGUUUGUAUUGAGUCAGAUUGUAUUAAAUAAAUGUAAUAUGAUUGUCAGGUGAGCCGGGACAGCCUUCUUCCUCCGCCCAGCCGCCACAGUGAUUGUCGUCAAGUCUGCUACAGGAGGAUUUUAUUUUGGUUAACCUGCUUUUCUCCCUCGCAGGUCAAUUAUUACUGUUUGUAUAACCUUGUUAAAUCUUAGAAUUUCCGCAUGUGUUAGAAUUGUUAUUUGAUUUGGGUCUGUAAACUAAAUUAUUAUUUUGGGACCUGUAAACUUAAUAUGCUAUGCAUGUUUGAUGGAUUGGAUGAGGGAGCUGAGCUCCCAUUUAUUAUUAUGUUGAUGAGUAUGUGGAGGGUGAGCUGAGCUCCCCAAUUGACUA